UGCAGUGAUGGUGAUCUGGCUCUGACGUCAGUUACCCCAUUGAUCCCCAGGGUUGAUUUGGCUGAUCUGGCUGGCUAGGCAGCUGUUCCCUUCCUCUCACUCCUCUAUGUGCAUCCCUCCUAAAGUUGCAUGCUCUGUUGAAGAGGAUGACCUUCCUCUAUAGAGGAGGACCAUUCUUUGGUCAAGGGUAUAUGACUGAAGUCAUGACUGAAAUUGUUAUUCUUGAUAAAAUGGAAGGCCAUGGAUGGAAAACUGAGGAGUGACAU
ensembl:misc_RNA 7SK 7SK RNA